CAGUCGCCGCGGGAAUACAGAGGGUGCAAGCGUUAAUCGGAAUUACUGGGCGUAAAGCGCGCGUAGGUGGUUAGUUAAGUUGGAUGUGAAAUCCCCGGGCUCAACCUGGGAACUGCAUUCAAAACUACUGACUAGAGUAUGGUAGAGGGUGGUGGAAUUUCCUGUGUAGCGGUGAAAUGCGUAGAUAUAGGAAGGAACACCAGUGGCGAAGGCGACCACCUGGACUGAUACUGACACUGAGGUGCGAAAGCGUGGGGAGCAAACAGGAUUAGAGACCCCCGUAGUCCCUGUCUCUUAUACA
rnacentral:rRNA from 1 species